rnacentral:rRNA from 1 species
UACGUAGGGUGCGAGCGUUGUCCGGAAUUAUUGGGCGUAAAGAGCUUGUAGGCGGUUUGUCGCGUCUGCUGUGAAAAUCCGGGGCUCAACCCCGGGCCUGCAGUGGGUACGGGCAGACUAGAGUGUGGUAGGGGAGACUGGAAUUCCUGGUGUAGCGGUGAAAUGCGCAGAUAUCAGGAGGAACACCGGUGGCGAAGGCGGUUCUCUGGGCAUUACCUGACGCUGAGGAGCGAAAGUGUGGGGAGCGAACAGG